rnacentral:tRNA from 1 species
GCGCUGGUAGCUCAAUGGAUAGAGCACUUGACUACGGAUCAAGCGGUUGGGGGUUCGACUCCCUCCCAGCGCGCCA